rnacentral:rRNA from 1 species
AUUGAACGCUGGCGGCAGGCCUAACACAUGCAAGUCGAACGAGUGGCGGACGGGUGAGUAAUGUCUGGGAAACUGCCCGAUGGAGGGGGAUAACUACUGGAAACGGUAGCUAAUACCGCAUACCAUCGGAUGUGCCCAGAUGGGAUUAGCUAGUAGGUGGGGUAACGGCUCACCUAGGCGACGAUCCAUAGCUGGUCUGAGAGGAUGACCAGCCACACUGGAACUGAGACACGGCCCAGACUCCUACGGGAGGCAGCAGUGGGGAAUAUUGGACAAUGGGCGCAAGCCUGAUACAGCCAUGCCGCGUGUAUGAAGAAGGCCUUCGGGUUGUAAAGUACUUUCAGCGAGGAGGCGUUACUCGCAGAAGAAGCACCGGCUAACUACGUGCCAGCAGCCGCGGUAAUUC